GCAGAAACCAUCUGAAAUCCGCCCUUCUCUCUGUUUCUGAGUCUUUCUGAGAAGAUUACAGGAAGUGCAAUAGGAAGUGAAGUGAAGUUGCUCUGUAUAACAAACCCGCUCAGUCGCCUUCAACAGCACAAUCUAUGAACGAAAUCAUUAGAGCUCCGUGAAGACUGCCAGAGAGACACUGAUGGGUGCAGACCUGAUGUGAACACAGGAGAUUUCGUGUCUGAACAAGGAAGGAGUUCCUGCGAGCCACAUGUCAGCGUGGCUGGUGUGAACCAAUGUGUGUGACCUGAUUGUACAACCAUGGCAAGAGCUGCAGUGACUAAACUUCUCCUUCUGGUUUUCCUCGCCUUCAUCAUCUGCCUGCCAGAGUUAUUCAGGAUAUACUCAGUUUCAAAGGUGAAUUUCCACUGCCUUCCCCACCGACCUCAUGAACCGAUGCAUCAGGAACGGAAAGGGGGAAAUGUGCAGCCAGCAAACGGUAAAGCUGAAAGAAAGGCCAUCUGUAAUCCUACUCCAAGUCCAGAACUUGAACAGUUGAAGCAGAUCUGUGCACAAGAGGCUGAAGGAAACGCAGCUGAGUUACAUCCUGAAACGCAGAAAGUCCAAGGAGACUCAAUGUCAGACUUGUUCAUGUGUGAAACAGACAAGAACAUGGAGGAACUUCACAGCAACGUCUCAUCACCAGCUCUGGUGGUGCUUCUGGAGGUGUCAGUCGUCUUUCAAGUGGACGACACAGAGGCCGUGAAUCGUACUUUGUUUGGCUACAGCAGUCAGAGGUCCCUGUUCCUCCGACCACCUGAAGAGGAGGAAGACCCAACGGGUGACAAGGCAAACCAGGGACAGGCUUUCUACUGCUGUCUUCCUCUCAUUCAAUCAUCCAACUCGACCAAUCAAAGCCACUGCCUCCUUUGGCUUGCCAAUCAAACUGUUUUGACAGGAAAUAAAACAGAAAGGCUGUCAUGGAAACAGGCAGAUAAAGGUUGGUGUAAGGAUAAAGGGGAGUUUGUUUUUUUCUCAGUUCUCCAUGUGGAGUCAGUGCAGCUGAGAAGAGUCAAUAAGAGACAAAGAAACAAAUCUAUGUUUUCAUUUCACUCCAAACUGCCCUGUCUCUCAGUCCUCUCUGGACUCAUUUUUUAAAUAGGACAAAUUUCCUUCAAUUCUCCUUGUGUUGACUUGAAUCUCCUCUGUGUCUUUCCCCUCCCUUUGCACUGCUUGAUCUUUCCAAGACUACACUACAUCCUAAUCCUCUGGAUCUCUGGUAUUGAUUUUGGCUAUCCUUCCUUGUGUGCCGCUCUGCAGUGCUCCCCAUACUUAAAGCCUGAGCCAUGUCAUAUUUUCCAGAGUGGAAGAGGAAAAUUGGAUGUCGUUUAAGAUAGCAUUUUUUCCUUCUCCUUCCAUCAAGCUUUUCCAUAACCCCAACACGUUUCAUUUUCAUUUUUCAUUUCUGAUCUCUAUGUGUGAUUCUUUUCACUCCAUGCAUGUGUAUUAAGUAUGUUCUGUAAACGAACCAAUUAUCUAAAAGUCCCUGUUUGCCCUCCAGGAUGGUGCAGCUACAGGUGGACCUUUCUGGUUCUGCUGUGUAUGGUGUGCCUGAUUGUUGUUAUAACUGUGAUUGCAAAAAUCUAUCUGGGGACACGCUUAAACAGUAAGAGAGGAAAACACACUUUAGCACAUGAAUUGACUUUACAUUUUUGAUGAGAGCAGACAAAAUAAGAUAUGCUCUUCCACAGAUAAAACUAUUGUGCAUCAUAUUGAGUACCAGCCUCCCAAUCAGCAGCUAAAAGGUAAAGAAACCUACCUAAGUAUCUAGCUAGAUACUGCUACCUAAGUAGCUAGGUAGCUAGGUACUACAUUUAGAUACCACAAAAAAAAAAAUGCAGUGUCUAUUACAGUUUUUCUCAGUUGCUUUGGUGCAUUUUUCAGGAAACAGCUGUCAUUCUAUGCUAGCCAGCUAGACUAUCUCUCCCAGCUAGCUGGUCUGAUGUCUGGUAGACUAGCUAGCUAGACUAGCUAGCCAGUUAGCAAGUCUAGAAUGUGUUUUUGAUGAUCUCUAAGCAGUUUAAAAAAAUACUUAUACAUCUAGCAACAGUUUGUGGCUUUGUUUCUCAAACAAGUUGUUUUGUAAAAAGCAAACUUUCCAAAAUAUUAAUUUGUUUUAAUGUUGCUUUAUUGGACAGAGAGCAGUCAGUGUCAUAUGUUUACACCAAAGUGUUUUUCUAACAAAUAUAUUAUCCAGCAGAAACAGCGUCCCGUUUAAAUCGACAUCAGUCUUGGCCUGAAACAAGGUACCAUUUGAAUAGGCUUCAGUCUUGGACUGUUGUCUUUUUAUGUCAGGACUUUCGCCCAUUCUAGAAAUUGAAAGCAGAGAGAACAUUGAAACUUUGCUGAAUGGAAAUCCCCUUAGCUGCUUUACAGAAAACCCUUCAUCAUCGCUGCCAUCCUCCUACCUCCUCCCUCACAGAAGAACAGCCGUGCUGAUAGACACACAACAAAAGGAGCACUAAGGCAAGAAAACAAGAAAACUCCAUCACCUCAAGGCCUGCUCUGUAGACACACAAUGCAGCAUGCAAAGAUCAGCACCGUUUAUUAUUAAAACCUCCCCAGUGAAGUUUGAUGGA